AUCGCUUUCUUCGGCCUUUUGGCUAAGAUCAAGUGUAGUAUCUGUUCUUAUCAGUUUAAUACCUGAUACGUCCUCCAUUCGAGGACUUUAUAUUAAACGGAAUUUUUAGAGCGAGGAGCUGGAAGAGGGGCUUGCCUCCGUCCGCCUCCACGCAUCGACCUGGUAUUGCAGUACCUCCAGGAACGGUGCACCUUUU
ensembl:snRNA U2 U2 spliceosomal RNA